rfam:Ciona savignyi cont_30198, whole genome shotgun sequence.
GUCUCUGUGGCGCAAUUGGUUAGCGCGUUCGGCUGUUAACUGAAAGGUUGCUGGUUCAAGCCCAGCCUGGGACG